rnacentral:rRNA from 1 species
UGUGUCAGCAGCCGCGGUAAUACGUAGGUGGCAAGCGUUGUCCGGAAUUACUGGGCGUAAAGGGCGUGUAGGCGGCCUUUUAAGUCAGACGUGAAAUCUCCAGGCUUAACCUGGAAACUGCGUUUGAAACUGGAGGGCUUGAGGACCGGAGAGGGUAGUGGAAUUCCCAGUGUAGCGGUGAAAUGCGUAGAUAUUGGGAGGAACACCAGUGGCGAAGGCGACUGCCUGGACGGCACCUGACGCUGAGGCGCGAAAGCUAGGGGAGCAAACGGGAUUAGAUACCCCGGUAGUCCUAGCCGUAAACGAUGGGUACUAGGUGUGGGAGGUAUCGACCCCUUCCGUGCCGCAGUUAACACAAUAAGUACCCCGCCUGGGGAGUACGGCCGCAAGGUUGAAACUCAAAGGAAUUGACGGGGGCCCGCACAAGC